UACGUAGGGGGCUAGCGUUGUCCGGAUUUAUUGGGCGUAAAGAGCGUGUAGGCGGCCAGGUAGGUCUGGUGUGAAAACUCGAGGCUUAACCUCGAGAUGUGAUCGGAAACCAUUUGGCUAGAGUCCGGAAGAGGAGAGUGGAAUUCCUGGUGUAGCGGUGAAAUGCGCAGAUAUCAGGAAGAACACCAAUGGCGAAAGCAGCUCUCUGGGACGGUACUGACGCUGAGACGCGAAAGCGUGGGGAGCGAACAGG
rnacentral:rRNA from 1 species